UCCUACGGGAGGCAGCAGUGGGGAAUUUUCCGCAAUGGGCGAAAGCCUGACGGAGCAAUGCCGCGUGAGGUAGGAAGGCCCACGGGUCGUGAACUUCUUUUCUCAAGGAAGAAGCAAUGACGGUACUUGAGGAAUCAGCAUCGGCUAACUCCGUGCCAGCAGCCGCGGUAAUACAGAGGAUGCAAGCGUUAUCCGGAAUGAUUGGGCGUAAAGCGUCUGCAGGUGGCAAUGCAAGUCUGCUGUCAAAGGCUGGGGCUUAACUCCAGACAGGCAGUGGAAACUGCAUCAGCUAGAGUGCGGUAGGGGCAGAGGGAAUUCCCGGUGUAGCGGUGAAAUGCGUAGAGAUCGGAAAGAACACCAACGGCGAAAGCACUCUUCUGGGCCGACACUGACACUGAGGGACGAAAGCUAGGGGAGCGAAUGGGAUUAGAUACCCCAGUAGUCCUAGCCGUAAACGAU
rnacentral:rRNA from 1 species